rnacentral:rRNA from 1 species
AUUGAACGCUAGCGGGAUGCCUUACACAUGCAAGUCGAACGGAGUGGCGAACGGGUGAGUAAUGUAUCGGAACGUGCCCAGUAGCGUGGGAUCACUAUGCGAAAGCGUAACUAAUACCGCAUACUCUUUGAGCGGGCGAUAUCGGAUUAGCUAGUUGGUGGGGGAAAGGCUCACCAGGGCGACGGUCCGUAGGUGGUUUGAGAGGACGAACAGCCACACUGGGACUGAGAAACGGCCCAGACUCCGACGGAAGGCAGCAGUAGGGAAUUUUGAACAAUGGGGGAAACCCUGAUCCAGACAUCCCGCGUGUGCGAUGAAGGCCUGCGGGUUGUAAAGCACUUUUGGCAGGAAAGCGGUACCUGCAGAAUAAGCACCGGCUAACUACGUGCCAGCCGCCGCGGUAAUUC